UUUUUCUCCACCUUUAGCACCGAUAACAUAUCCAUGGCAAGGCAUCUCCGGAUCAUAUGGGCUUCCAACUUUUCCUCCCUAUGUUUUUGGGGUUAUUAUUAUGUAAGGGACCUUCUUUUAAGGCAUCUCUAAUCAUUUUCGACUCUCUAAUGGUGCCCUCAAUCAGUUUCCUUCUUCCCCAACGUACUGGUGUUAGAUCGUUGUUUGUGCUGAGG
rnacentral:misc_RNA from 1 species